UUGACCUCGGAUCAGGUAGGGAUACCCCG
rnacentral:rRNA from 1 species